AAAACAUUUUCACUAUUGACAUUGUUACGUUUCGGUUUAAAGAGCUUUAGAGAAGUUGACAGACGGAGAAAGAAGACGACGAGGAAGAAGAAGACGAUCUUCUUUAUUCUUCUCUUUUCUGUCUCUACCAGCUUCGUUUUCUUUCCUCCGCCGUGAGAUUAUAUCGUCGUCGUAACAAACCCCUAGGGUUCAUCCUCGACGCUUCCUUGGUUAAUUAGGUAAACAAUUUCGUCGGAUCUGAUGGCGUUGUCGGCUUCCGAUUUGCCGGCGAUGUACACGCUAUUAGCAAAUUCAAUGAGCGGUGACGAGACUGUUCGGCGGCCGGCGGAGGCGGCUCUGUCUCAGUCGGAGAGUAGACCUGGUUUCUGUUCUUGCCUUAUGGAAGUAAUUGCAUCCAAGGAUUUGGUGUCCCAUGUGGACGUUAGAUUGAUGGCCUCAGUGUAUUUCAAGAACAGUAUCAACCGUCAUUGGAAGAACAGACGAAAUUCAUGGAGUAUGAGCAACGAGGAAAAGAGUCAUCUGAGGCAGAAAUUGUUGUCUCACUUGAGAGAAGAGAACUACCAGAUUUCGGAAAUGUUGGCUGUUCUCAUAUCAAAGAUAGCUCGUUUUGAUUAUCCUAGAGAAUGGCCUGACCUCUUUUCGGUACUAGCGCAACAGCUUCACUCGGCUGAUGUUCUUGCUUCUCACAGAAUCUUUCUGAUUCUUUUUCGAACCUUAAAGGAAUUAUCCACCAAACGCCUCGCUGCGGAUCAGAGAACCUUCGCUGAGAUCUCGUCGCAAUUCUUCGACUUUAGUUGGCACCUUUGGCAAACUGAUGUCCAAACAAUUCUACAUGGCUUUUCAACAAUGGCUCAGAGCUAUGGUUCAAAUAGUGCCGAGCAGCAUCACGAUGAGCUUUUUCUGACUUGUGAGAGGUGGUUUUUAUGUUUGAAAAUAGUGCGCCAACUGAUAAUUUCAGGAUUUCAACGCGAUGCCAAAUAUAUACAGGAGAUACAACCAGUGAAAGAAGUCUCUCCUGCGCUCUUGAACGCGGUUCAAUCCUUUCUUCCAUAUUAUUCAUCUUUUCAGAAUCGAGAUCCUAAAUUCUGGGAGUUUGUAAAGAAGGCAUGUGUCAAGCUGAUGAAAGUGUUAGGCGCUAUUCAAAGCAGACAUCCUUUUUCGUUUGGAGAUAAAUGUGUUCUUCCAGUUGUAGUGGAUUUCUGCUUAAACAAGAUAACAGACCCUGAACAGUCAUUGUUGCCAUUUGAAGAAUUUUUUAUUCAGUGUAUGGUGAUGGUGAAAUCUGUGCUUGAAUGUAAAGAAUAUAAGCCAAGUCUAACUGGUCGUGUGAUGGAUGACAAUGGAGUUACAUUUGAGCAGAGGAAGAAGAAUGCUUCCAACGCAGUUGGUGGUAUUGUGUCUUCACUUUUACCCAAUGAAAGGAUAGUUCUUUUGUGCAACAUACUAGUGAGAAGGUAUUUUGUUCUAACAGCAAGUGACCUAGAGGAGUGGUACCAGAACCCUGAGUCCUUUCAUCAUGAGCAGGACAUGAUUCAGUGGACAGAGAAAUUGAGGCCUUGUGCUGAAGCUCUAUAUAUGGUUUUGUUUGAGAACUACAGCCAACUGCUAGGACCUAUUGUUGUGUCCAUCCUUCAAGAAGCAAUGAAUAAUUGUCCCCCUUCUGUUACUGAAAUAACUCCUGCACUACUUCUUAAAGAUGCGGCAUAUGCUGCUACUGCAUAUGUCUACUAUGAGCUCUCGAAUUAUCUUAAUUUUAGAGAUUGGUUUAAUGGUGCUCUAUCCCUUGAGCUCUCAAAUGACCAUCCAAAUAGGCGUAUCAUCCACCGAAAAGUCGCUAUGAUAUUGGGACAUUGGGUUUCAGAGAUUAAGGAUGACACAAAAAGGGCAGUUUAUUGUUCUUUGAUCAAAUUGUUGCAAGACAAUGACCUCGCUGUCAAGCUGGCAGCUAGUAGGUCAUUGUGCUUACAUGUCGAGGAUGCGAAUUUUUCGGAGCAAAGUUUUCUUGAUCUUCUUCCAAUCUGUUGGGAAUCAUGUUUCAAAAUGGUCGAGGAAGUUCGAGAGUUUGAUUCGAAGGUUCAAGUUUUGAACUUGAUUUCUACUCUUAUUGGCCAUGUUAGCGAAGUCCUUCCGUAUGCACAAAAGUUGGUGCAAUUCUUCCAAGCGGUUUGGGAGGAAUCUUCUGGUGAAAGCCUUCUACAGAUUCAGCUUCUUGUUGCACUUCGGAAUUUUGUGAUUGCACUUGGUUAUCAGUCUCCCAUUUGCUAUAGCAUACUGCUCCCAAUACUCCAAAAGGGCAUUGACAUUAAUAGCCCUGAUUCACUCAACCUUCUGGAGGAUAGCAUGGCAUUAUGGGAAACCACACUUUCCUAUGCUCCUAUGAUGGUGCCCCAGCUAUUAGCAUGCUUUCCCUAUAUGGUGGAGAUCAUUGAAAGAAGUUUUGAUCAUUUACAGGUUGCUGUCAGUAUCAUGGAAUCGUAUAUCAUUUUGGAUGGAGGAGAAUUUCUAAAUAUGCAUGCUUCAAAUGUUGCCAAAAUUCUUGAUCUUAUCGUUGGAAAUGUAAAUGAUAAGGGGUUACUCUCGAUUCUUCCAGUGAUUGACAUCUUGGUUCAGUGUUUUCCUGUGGAAGUGCCCCCUCUCAUCAGCAGCUGUUUGCAGAAACUGGUGAUUAUUAGCUUAAGUGGAGGAGAUGACCGUGAUCCAUCCAAGACUGCAGUUAAAGCGUCUUCAGCAGCUAUCCUUGCAAGGAUUCUGGUGAUGAACACCACUUACCUGGCCCAGUUAACAUCUGAUUCAUCUCUUUCAGUGUUACUCCAGCAGGCAGGGGUCCCAGUCGAAGACAACAUACUCCUUUGCCUCAUUGACAUUUGGCUCGACAAGGUGGACCAUGCGUCUCCCAUGCAAAAAAAGACAUUUGCUUUGGCUCUUUCCAUAAUACUUACACUGAGAAUGCCUCAAGUUCUUGACAAGCUUGAUCAAAUACUAAGUACAUGCACCAGUGUGAUCCUUGGUGAAAACAAAGAGUUAACAGAAGAAGAAACAAGCGGUGACAUGAGUUCAAGCAGGUCUCAAGGAGAAGAAACCCCGCCAAGCAAAGAGUUACGUAAAAGUCAGAUAAAAGUUUCCGACCCAAUCUACCAGAUGUCACUAGAGAAAUCAACGCGUGAGAACCUUCAGACAUGUUCUACACUUCAUGGAGAUGCCUUUAACUCUGCCAUUAGUAGGAUGCACCCAUCGGCGCUUGCACAAGUGAAGCAAGCCUUAAAGCUGCCGUGAUUAAAUGUUUUUGCCUCUUCAUUGUUUGUUUUCUUAUCACUUAAAGAGCAGCAAUAUUCAAGUGAGUGAGCUUUCUUCCCUUUAUGGUUACGGAUUUGACGGGUGUGUUACAUAGGCGUGCAUGUUGCAUUGACCUCUGUGGCCUUGGCGGUUUGAGGAACUAUGUACAUAUCUUUGGUGAGGUGCUUCCCUUUUAGCUGCCCAUGCGUUUUUUGCCCUACAGAACAAUAGGAGGCAUUAUUCAAAGACUUCUUUUUGUUUUCCUUUGGUUGAGUUUAAUAUGUCAAUUGACUCAACAAUUCAUUCUUCAAUACAACGUUUUUGCCCCAAUGUUACAACAACAGAAAAGAAAAGAAAAUAUGAGGAAUCAAAAUAGGGAGAUAUUUUGACAAUGUAUCUCAGGUCUUUCCUGUCCCAAGAACUCAACAACAUAUGAUGGGAACAGGUCGGAGUUAUGUCAAUUCUUUACUUUUUACUUUUUACUUUUUGUUCUUGUUGAUUGUACUCAUUCUCUCUAAUAAAUAAAUCUUGGCUUCAUAA